rnacentral:misc_RNA from 1 species
GUUCUCAUUGAAUGGCCGUCUAAUCUGUAGAGAGUAGAAAUCAAAUAGAAACCAAUUAAAAAUAUGGGUGUGAAACCAAAAGCGAAAUGCAUGCGAGUUUUGGAUUAGGAAGUUUGGAUGUUUCUGUUGAGGGAGAUUUCAUAUGAAAGUCUUCGAAUGAAAACAAAAUGGCCAUUUAAAAAAAUAGCAAGGAAGACUUAAAAAAGACCCAGUUGCAGAGGAAAUUGCAUUAUAAAUGGUGUUUGUGUAUGAGUUUUUUAUGGAGAAAUUUAAUUAUUUAAAUAAUUUGCUGGAGGAGAAAACGUAUGUGUUUUGGAACUAAAUUAGUGUCAAAGGGAGUAUUCAACGGGAAUUAGAAAAAGACCCAGUUGCAGGGGAAAUGGAGACAACUUGCCAGAAAGAAACGUAAAGGGAAAGAAAAUUAUUGUGAAUAGAAUAUAAAAUGCAAGACUAAUAAGAGAGACAGAUAGAGAGAGUGGCCACUGGCUCAGGUUGAUCGUUUUUAA